GACGAACGCUGGCGGCGUGCUUAACACAUGCAAGUCGAACGGUGGAGCGCCUUCCUUUUUGGUGGGUCUGGAUGAGUGGCGAACGGGUGAGUAACACGUGAGUAACCUGCCCCCUUCUUCUGGAUAACCGCAUGAAAGUGUGGCUAAUACGGGAUAUUCUGGUUCUGUCGCAUGAUGGGUCUGGGAAAGAUAUUGUUUCGGUGCGGGAUGGGCGCGGGGCCUAUUAGCUUGUUGGUGGGGUGAUGGCCUACCAAGGCGGGGACGGGUAGCCGGCCUGAGAGGGUGGCCGGUCGAGAGGGGAGUCAGACACGGGCCACAUACGAAAGGGAGGAAGCAGUGAUGAUUAGCAGACGACGGGAGCAAGACUGAUGAAGCGAGGCCGCGUGAGGGAUGGAGGCCUUCGGGGAGGAACCCUUUUUCGCGAGUAAAGAAGGCCUGCGUCGUUUGUGAGUGGGUGAAGGGUAGCUGGAAAAAAGACGCCGCUUACUACGGU
rnacentral:rRNA from 1 species